rnacentral:misc_RNA from 1 species
UUUCUGUAGGUGAACCUGCGGAAGGAUCAUUAAUGAGUUGUCAUGGGGUUCGAUGCUGGCAGCCAGUUUUUGGAUGCAUGUGCUUGCCCUAACAAUCAUCUUCUUCCAAACACCUGUGCACAUUUUUGAGGGAGUCUUGAGUUGGUUGCCGCUCUUGGGUGAUUUUCUCACAUUCCCUUAAAUCAUUAUACGCUAUUAACAAUGUUGAACGUGCUCUGUGCCGCAAGGCCAUUAAUAUAAUACAACUUUUAACAACGGAUCUCUUGGCUCUC